rnacentral:rRNA from 1 species
UGGGGAAUAUUGCACAAUGGAGGGAACUCUGAUGCAGCGACGCCGCGUGAGUGAUGAAGGACUUCGUUUCGUAAAACUCUGUUCUAUGGGAAGAAAAGGACUGUACCAUAGGAGAAAGCUCCGGCUAAAUACGUGCCAGCAGCCGCGGUAAUACGUAUGGAGCGAGCGUUGUCCGGAAUUAUUGGGCGUAAAGGGUGCGCAGGCGGCUUUACAAGUUGGAUGUGAAAUAUUGUGGCUCAACCACAAACGUGCAUCCAAAACUGCAAAGCUUGAGUUAAGGAGAGGUAAGUGGAAUUCCUGGUGUAGCGGUGGAAUGCGUAGAUAUCAGGAGGAAUACCGGUGGCGAAGGCGACUUACUGGACUUAAACUGACGCUCAUGCACGAAAGCGUGGGGAGCAAACAGG